GAUGAACGCUAGCGGCAGGCUUAACACAUGCAAGUCGAGGGGCAGCGCGAUGUAGCAAUACAUUGGCGGCGACCGGCGCACGGGUGCGUAACACGUAUGGAACUUACCCUUUACUGGGAGAUAGCCCGGAGAAAUCCGGAUUAAUAUCCCAUAAUAAACGAAGUGGCAUCACUUUGUUUUGAAAGCUCCGGCGGUAAAGGAUGGCCAUGCGCACGAUUAGCUAGUAGGUGAGGUAACGGCUCACCUAGGCUACGAUCGUUAGGGGGCCUGAGAGGGUUAUCCCCCACACUGGUACUGAGACACGGACCAGACUCCUACGGGAGGCAGCAGUGAGGAAUAUUGCGCAAUGGAGGCAACUCUGACGCAGCCAUGCCGCGUGCAGGAAGAAGGCGCUACGCGUUGUAAACUGCUUUUAACCGGGAAGAAACCCUCCGACGUGUCGGAGGUUGACGGUACCGGAGGAAUAAGCACCGGCUAACUUCGUGCCAGCAGCCGCGGUAAAG
rnacentral:rRNA from 1 species